UGAACAGAGAGAGAAAGAAAUCAAAGCAAAGUAUCAGGUCUCAAAGACGCCACGAAAACUUUGUUCCAGCUCACAAAGUACUGUUGCAUCUGUUACAUCAAACAAAAUUUCUUUAGCAGUUGGUGCAGAAGCCAACAAUAUACACUCUGAUUAUGUUGGCACCAAUGGACAUGGCUUGGAAAAUGUUGAAGUGUCUGCAGGAUAUAGUGCCCCUAUAGUGUCCCAAUCAUUGCUGCCAGUUGGAUUUCCUGCUGUGAAAACUGAUCCCCAGGCUGAUAUAAGAUCCCAAACAAUGAAGUCCUUCGAAACAAGCGCCUUACCUGCUGUAUCUGGUAGUGUUAAGAACCUUACAACAGGCUUAAUGUUUGAGAACAAGAAUAAGGUUCUGGAUAAUGCCCAAACAUCUUUGG
rnacentral:misc_RNA from 1 species